rnacentral:rRNA from 1 species
GACGAACCGAGCGAACGUUGUUCGGAAUCACUGGGCUUAAAGGGCGCGUAGGCGGGCUGUCAAGUUUGGGGUGAAAUCCCGCGGCUCAACCGUGGAACUGCCUCAAAUACUGACGGUCUCGGAGGGAGGUGAGGGCGAGCGGAACUGAUGGUGGAGCGGUGAAAUGCGUUGAUAUCAUCAGGAACUCCGGUGGCGAAGGCGGCUCGCUGGACCUUUUCUGACGCUGAGGCGCGAAAGCUAGGGGAGCGAACAGG